rnacentral:rRNA from 1 species
ACGGUACAACGAGUCGCAAGACCGCGAGGUUUAGCAAAUCUCUUAAAGCCGUUCUCAGUUCGGAUUGUAGGCUGCAACUCGCCUACAUGAAGUCGGAAUCGCUAGUAAUCGCGGAUCAGCAUGCCGCGGUGAAUACGUUCCCGGGCCUUGUACACACCGCCCGUCAAGUCAUGAAAGUGGGCAGCACCCGAAGACGGUGGCCUAACCCUUGUGGGGGGAGCCGUCUAAGGUGAGGCUCGUGAUUGGGACUAAGUCGUAACAAGGUAUC